UGAAGGGGGUUUGUCAAGAGGCAGACGCUGUGUCGGGAAAAGUCUCUUUUGUUUGCUCUGUGUCUUUCAGACAGUUGAUGUGAGGGGCGCCGCUGGUUUGGGCAGUUGUGGCCCUGCAGCUGGCUGAGUCAUGGGGAACGAGACCAGCACAACCGAGGCGUUGCCAGAAGAGGGCGCUCCAGAGAAUGUUGUUCUGUUUCCACCACAGGAAACUCACAAUGACAGCUUUCAGGUACUACAACUUCUGUGUGUUUG